CCUGGGUGGCAGCAGUGGGGAAUAUUGGACAAUGGGCGAAAGCCUGAUCCAGCCAUGCCGCGUGUGUGAAGAAGGCCUUCGGGUUGUAAAGCACUUUCAGUGGGGAAGAAAGCCUUGGGGCUAAUACCCUCGAGGAAGGACAUCACCCACAGAAGAAGCACCGGCUAACUCCGUGCCAGCAGCCGCGGUAAUACGGAGGGUGCGAGCGUUAAUCGGAAUUACUGGGCGUAAAGCGCGCGUAGGCGGUCUGAUAAGCCGGUUGUGAAAGCCCCGGGCUCAACCUGGGAACGGCAUCCGGAACUGUCAGGCUAGAGUGCAGGAGAGGAAGGUAGAAUUCCCGGUGUAGCGGUGAAAUGCGUAGAGAUCGGGAGGAAUACCAGUGGCGAAGGCGGCCUUCUGGACUGACACUGACGCUGAGGUGCGAAAGCGUGGGUAGCAAACAGGAUUAGAUACCCGGGUAGUC
rnacentral:rRNA from 1 species